GUUACACAAUGCUUGUCGUAGUGUGAGAAAACCCGGAGUGAAAACACAGAGGAACGCGUCGCGGGCUUCAGACCUCCAGAACAAGGCUGCACUUCUGUGACUGAGGAAAGAGAAGGGGGCCGAGGAGGCGGAGCAGCGGAUGAAGGGCCUAAUCCCGCCUGCAGGCGCCAUCACACAGGAACCCUAAUAUCUGCACGCGGCGUCUCAUUCCACAAGUGCACGUUGCACGUUGAUGUGUGCGUGCUGGAGGCCUCGAGAGUUCAGUGGGAAGCUCAUACAGGUGGAUCCCGUAUUUACAACCUGAAUCAGCUCCUUUGGAAAGAAACGUCUAUUAUUACAUUUAGGAGAUUAUUUAUAAAAUGCACAUCUUAUGUCUAUUAGACAACGUAGGAAUCUGUUAAAUGGGAUUAACCAGUUAAUUGAUUUUGUUCUCGAAAAUUAACUGUAAUUUCAUGUUGUCAUGUGGAUUGUUUUUUUGUUUUUUUUCGUUCAUUAUUUGAAUUAUUUUUAUUGGAUAAUGUUUUUUUAAGGUUUACAUUUUGCCUGCCAAUUUUGGGCUAUAAUUAAAAUACCAACAUGCGUGUUGAUUGCAUCAAAUUUGUAGAUGUUCAUGUUUGCAAUUAACUUUGACACUUUUAUUUCCUGGAAAUUACGCUUCAAUAUUUAUCUCUCCUUGAACCUACAACACAAUGGAUAAAAAUACAUUACAAUUUAGCCAAUAAAGGAAUGUUAAGUGUUCAUGAUUCAUUUCUAAGAGUGUUGGAACGGAAAAGGAAGAUCAAUAUUGCAGUUAACAUUCCCACAACUAAAUCAUUUGAUGAAAACAAACAAGCAUUUGUGUCUCCAGGUAAUAAAAGUGUAUGUUUCUUUCUGUUUGAAAUAGUCAUGUCAACGCACGUUCCCCCUGAACUGUUUUGGCCCGAGGAUUAACAACAGCUCCAACUCCAAAUAAAUAGUAGAUUAAAAAAAA